rnacentral:rRNA from 1 species
UACGUAGGGGCCAAGCGUUGUCCGGAUUUAUUGGGCGUAAAGAGCUCGUAGGCGGUUGGGUAAGUCGGGUGUGAAAACUCCAGGCUCAACUUGGAGAUGCCACCCGAUACUGCUCUGACUUGAGUUCGGUAGGGGAGUGGGGAAUUCCUGGUGUAGCGGUGAAAUGCGCAGAUAUCAGGAGGAACACCGGUGGCGAAGGCGCCACUCUGGGCCGAAACUGACGCUGAGGAGCGAAAGCGUGGGGAGCGAACAGG